rnacentral:rRNA from 1 species
CACGUAGGAGGCGAGCGUUGUCCGGAAUCAUUGGGCGUAAAGAGCGCGCAGGCGGCUUGGCAAGUCGGGUGUGAAAUCCCGGGGCUCAACCCCGUGACUGCAUCCGAUACUGUCAGGCUAGAGGUAGGUAGGGGAGAUCGGAAUUCCUGGUGUAGCGGUGAAAUGCGCAGAGAUCGGGAGGAACACCCGUGGCGAAGGCGGCCAUCUGGACCAGCACGUGACGCUGAGGCACGAAAGCGUGGGGAGCAAACAGGG